rfam:Triticum aestivum genome assembly, contig: Triticum_aestivum_CS42_TGACv1_scaffold_641023_T_6AS-0.173189_5AL-0.116961
GUAGUACUCCCUCCGUUCGGAAUUACUCGUCCAAGAAAUGAAUGUAUCUAGAUGUAUUUUAGUUGUAGAUACGUCCAUUUUUGUGACAAGUAAUUCCGAACGAAGGGAGUAACUA